rnacentral:lncRNA from 12 species
AGGAGGAACAUGAAUCACCACUGGGUGAGUGGCCACAGAAGAGGCUGGGUCUCUUCUUUAGGAAAGAAGGGGUGGCAUGAAAGAUCACCGCAUCUUUAUUUGUAUGGUAAGGGCUUACCUAACUAUUGAGACAAAUCAUCACUUUUCUCAGAGUAACUUAAAAGUCAAUCUGUGAUCUCUCCCCACUCUCAAGCUGAAAUAACUACAUUUUUAAUGCUUCAGAUCUAAAAAAGAAAGAAAGAAAGAAAAAGAAAGAAAGAAAGAAAAAGAAAGAAAGAAAGAAAGAAAGAAAGAAAGAAAGAAAGAAAGAAAGAAAGAAAGAAAGAAAGAAAGAAAGAAAGAAAGAAAAGAAAACAACUCCAAAAGGCGUUUCGCCAGGGGAAAAAAAUCCUGACCACGUGCUCUGGGCAGGGAAGGCAGGGCUCCUAACCUUGGCGGGAACCAGAGAAACAAAGAUACAAGUGCCUUUGUCUAGGAAAUAAACACAAUCCCGGGGUGGGAGUAAGGACAAGGAGAACCGUGUGGGACCAAGAAAAGGCAAUCGAAUGUGAACGGAGGCUCACCCUUCUGGAAACACGGCAGCCAGCACGGAGCGGCGGGCGCGACCGCAGGCCCCAGCAGCGCCCGCCGCGCACGCGGAGCAAAGGGCGGGGAGUCUCGGGGCACGCGCUACCGCAGGGGCUCCGUGUUUCAACAGAAAAACCACUUCCGCCCUCCGCAGAGGCUGAAUCUUGUUCGUAUCCCAAGAGGCCUCAUCCACCAGGGCGGCCUCGGGCCCGGGGUCCCCAGGGCGGCCCUCGCGGGGCGGGCGUCAGGACGGACACGGGCCGCCGCCGGCAGAGCACAGGACUGGGCGGGGCCUGCGCGGGCCGCAGCGGGACGGGGCGGCGGAGCACUCGGCGGCCGCGGGCACGAGGGCCCCAGAGCGCGGCGCCCCGGGGUGGAGGCGCCUCCGCAGCAAGCCGGCGGGACCCAGACGCGGCCGCUCGCGCCCCCCACGGCACCCACGGGGGACCCCGACUCGUCGCUCCCCAAGGCGGCGUCUGCGCUGCGGGCUGCGUCCUCGUCGCUGGAACGAAGCCGCCGCAGGAGCCGCCGAGCCCCCCGCGGCUGCCCUCGCUCUCGACCCCUGCCGGCGCCAGAGCCGCGCUCCCAGCAGGCAGGGGCUCCGCGACGCCGGCACACGGGCCCCAGGCACCCGCGGUGAGUGGAGCCUGCGCCGACCGAGGGACACCGCGGCCCGCAGGACGAGGGGCGGAGGGAACGUCCAGGGGCCCGCGUGGCGUCGGGCUGCCGGGCACGGGGGGGGGGGGCACCUGCGGCGACCAGCGCGCACCGGGUCUGGGCGAGCGGCCGCGUGUCCUCCGGAGAACUCCGGGCUCCCGGGAGGUGGCGGCCGCGUUCCCGAGGACGGGGCGGGAGGACGGGCCGGGCACGCCCCGGGCGCUGGGAGAGGCCGGGCAGCUCGGGGACACCGCGGGGGCCGGGGCGGCCGACGGGGCCUCUCAGGGAUCCGUGUCCGGCCUCGGCCCCAGGCCCAGGCCCGUGCUUCGCGGCGAGGACACGGGCCGCCCGACAGGGACGCGGAACACGACGCAGCAGCCACGGCCCGACCCACGGGGAGCCGCGGCCGCCGAGGAGCGUCGAGGUACGGGCGGCUUCGUCCCAGCUGCAGGCGGCGGCGGCCGACACCGCCACACGGGCACGCGGGGCCACGCGGGGGCAGGACGUGCCGGAGCCGCGCCGCCGUCCCCGUCCCCGUCCCCGUCCCCGGGGGGCCCCGAGGGCCGCUGCGCCGGGGAGGGCUCCCGCGGCGGCCACGGGCGGGCACAGGGGGCGUCCGGGAGGCCGGCCGGAGGCAGACGGGGCCGCGGGACGGGCGCGCCUUGGGCUCGGGGCCCAGGUGCCUCCGCCCGCACAGCUCGAGGCGGAGGCCGCGUGCUCCCCCUGCCCGCCCCGCGGCGAGGCCCCCGAGCUGCUCCGCCGCCCGGCCGGAAGCCAGGGCUCCACGGGGCCUCCGCGCCUCCCCUGCUGCUGCCCCGGAGCCGGAGCCGGAGCCGGAGCCGGAGCCGAGCCGAGGAGACCUCGCGGGAACUGCCGUCGGGACAGCCUCAAGCGGAAACCGGCCUCACCCGGCCCAGGGCGGCAGGAAGCGCCAAGACUUCCGGGCGGGCCGCCGCCACGCUCAGCCAGUGAGAAGCCGCCGCCAUCACCGGCAGCCAAUGAGAAGCCUCUGCCACGCUCAGCCAAUGAGAAGCCACCACCAUCACCGGCAGCCAAUGAGAAGCCUCUGCCACGCUCAGCCAAUGAGAAGCCACCACCAUCACCUGCAGCCAAUGAGAAGCUGCCGCCGCACUCAGCCAGUGAGAAGCCGCCACCGCCCUCCAAUGGGCUUUCCUUCCAUACAGCCCCGCCCACCCCCUUCCAUAUAAAAGCGUUUCCCGCCCGCCGCUUCCAGGCUGCAGCGCCUCUGCUGCUCCUGGGGAAACCCGAUUUGCCGGUAGAAUAACCGUUUUAUCUUGCAAGGUCGACACUUUCCGGCCUGCGAAUCCUCCAGCCCUGCCUGGGAAGCGGAGAACCCAGCUCGAAGACACUCUUUCCUCUCACGGAUCUACGUGGCGCCCUCGCCCGAGGAGGCCGUUAACCCCGUGACCCGCCCUAAGUCACUAAAAGCCAUUUUCGUGGGCUCCGGGGCCCCGGAAGCGACCAGUAAGGAAUUCUGUUCUUCAAAAACCGUUUCUGUUGCUCAGAAGCCAGUUUCCGUCAGAUGUUGAUUUGGGCUUUGCAGACUGUAACCCACGCCCUGGGUUUCCUGACAAAACACCGUGUUCUGGAGGACGCGAGUCCCAAGGAGUGGACCCGCCCCCCCCCCGGCCGGACCCCCGGGCGGCCUCGCGCUACCGAACUGUGCCCGUGUCAGGUUGUACUUGAGAAAAGUGCAAGACAUUUUUGAAUAUUUUCUGCGGAGUUUCAUGAAUGUGCUUUUGCGACGACUUAAUGUGAAUCUUUUGUAACCUGCCAGUAAUCUUAAUGUGCGACCAUACUGUAUUAUCAGGCUUGUAAAAUGUAUGGACUAUAAAAAAGAAAUUCUGAAAAGAUGCAAAACUAAUGCUGUACUCAUGCAUUAAUUACUGAAAAGUUGCACUGGCUCAUCAUUCCAUUGUUGAAUGGAAGCGUCGUUCAAAUUUAUGAAAUGACUAUUCACGACUCAGUAUUUUCUGGCAAGAAAAACAAUUAUUCAUUCAACAAAUAUUAGUGUUAGAGGUGUUAGGGUGCGUCACUGAAAUUCUGCCCUGUUGAGACUUCGGUCCUAGAGCAGAGAUGGGAAUGCAGAAGGAACAGCUGGCUUAUUAAUGUAACAACUGAGGAAGCAGACGACUUUUAUCUUGGAUACAGAGAAAGUAUAAGGUGCACUUGGAGGAUGCUGAGAAGAAUUUCAGCAAUACAGUUUUACCAACACAAAUUCAAAUUGUUAUGUAAGAUUUUUUUAUAUGGAAAAUCAGCAUAAUGUUUUAAUAGGCUUAUUUAUAUUUAUAUAUGUAAACAUGCAAAUUCUUAAUAUUUAAUAGGUUUAUUUAUUGUAUACUUUUAUUGAUGAAAGCAUCUACACAUACACAGAAUAGAGCAGUGGACUUCAUAUAUGUCACCCAGCUUUGGCAAUCAUUAGCAUUUUGCCAUACUUGUUUUACUGAUCUCAGUUUUCUUUUUGCUGGAGUAAUUUCAAAGAAAACCUUAAACACAUCAUUUCACCUGGAAAACCAUCAGUCGCAUCUCAAAUAAAAAAGGCAUUUUCCAGGGCUCCUGGGUGAUU